rnacentral:misc_RNA from 1 species
UCUCCGUAGGUGAACCUGCGGAGGGAUCAUUACUGAGUGAGGGGCUCCGGCCCCAGACCUCCAACCCAUUGUUAUCCGACACUGUUGCCUCGGCGCAGGCUGGGAGCUUCUGUAAACUCCCCCCCGCGGACUCACCUCUGCGCGGAGCAGGCCCGCCGGCGGCCCCACCAAACUCUUGUUUUUAGUGUCUCUUCUGAGUUAAACAAACAAAUGAAUCAAAACUUUCAACAACGGAUCUCUUGGUUCUGGCAUCGAUGAAGAACGCAGC